rnacentral:rRNA from 1 species
UUGACCUCGGAUCAGGCAGGGAUACCCGCUGAACUUAAGCAUAUCAAUAAGCGGAGGAAAAGAAACCAACAGGGAUUGCCUCAGUAACGGCGAGUGAAGCGGCAACAGCUCAAAUUUGAAAUCUGGCUCUUUUAGGGUCCGAGUUGUAAUUUGUAGAGGAUGCUUCGGCGUCGGCUCCGGUCUAAGUUCCUUGGAACAGGACGUCAUAGAGGGUGAGAAUCCCGUAUGUGAUCGGUUGCCCUUGCCAUGUGAAGCUCCUUCGACGAGUCGAGUUGUUUGGGAAUGCAGCUCUAAAUGGGAGGUAAAUUUCUUCUAAAGCUAAAUACUGGCCAGAGACCGAUAGCGCACAAGUAGAGUGAUCGAAAGAUGAAAAGCACUUUGGAAAGAGAGUCAAAAAGUACGUGAAAUUGUUGGAAG